UACAGAGGGUGCGAGCGUUAAUCGGAAUUACUGGGCGUAAAGGGCGUGUAGGCGGUUUAUUAAGUUAGAUGUGAAAGCCCCGGGCUUAACCUGGGAAAGGCAUAUAAUACUGAUAAACUAGAGCAGAGUAGAGGUGAGCAGAAUUUCCGGUGUAGCGGUGAAAUGCGUAGAUAUCGGAAAGAAUACCGGAGGCGAAGGCGGCUCACUGGGCUCAUACUGACGCUGAGGCGCGAAAGCGUGGGUAGCAAACAGG
rnacentral:rRNA from 1 species